rnacentral:lncRNA from 1 species
CAUGAAUCCAUUUGGGACUUUAUGUAAGUCAUUUGGGACUUAAAACCAUUCUCAGGUUUUUUCAUGAGCCAAUAUAGAGUUCAAUGUUCUUGAAUUAUUUGUCUACAAAAAGAUUGGAUUAAGAGAUUUGAAGAGGACGGGAACACUGAUGGAUCACCACAGACAGUUUGGAGUGGUUCAGAGAUUUGACUCAGGUGCUACAGAGGCCUUUAAUAUGCAGCUCCUGGCUCAAGAGAAAAGGAGGCCAAAUCUACAAAGACAGUGGGAAAGUGAGGGACUCCAGAGAGCAUCAGAGAGAAACACAUCACUAGACCAGAGCACGGAUGCUGUGAGAUGCAACAGCUGAUGAGUGUGACUCCAGGACCAGAACCUGCCAUAUCCCAUGGAGAAAGUGCCGGUCAGAUGUCAUUCCAGAGAGCAGUUGACUGUUUGAACCCAGGACUCAGAGAAGCUGUGUAUUGGCUUCAUUUCAGUGCUCCUAGUGCCAUGGUCCAACAGUGACCAGGUGAGGGACAGUAAUUGGAGAGAGCCAUAGUCAGGGAUCUGCAGUUAGGCUGGCAAGAGACCCCCCUGAGAGGUUUAAACCAGAGGAUACAGGCCCCCACCCCAAUGGCCAGAGGCCAGGCUCAGCCUGAGUCACUCCGGAUCUGAAAGUCGCAGAAUUGGCAACCUCACUCUGAAGCCACUGCCUUCGGGUGCCUGCAUCCAGCCAGUCGGACUGUGACUUGCUCCGACUGUCUUCUUUAUCUACCAACGUGAGCAGGGACAUGUCUUGACCGGACACUACCACAGUUCACAUUCAAAACCACAGAGAAAGUGUUUUUCUGUCUCUGUUUCUUUUUUGUUUUUAUUUUCGUGUGCGUGUGUGUGUUGUUCUUAGGGAUUCUGUUUUGUUUCUGUUUCUCUUCUUCCCUCUUCUCAUUUCUUCCGCACCAACAUAUUGGGGUUAGGGUUAGCGUUGUCUUAAUGAUUACUCUAUAAUUGCGGAUUUCUUUUCUAGACUUAAGGAUGGUACGUAACUGUUUUUUGUUUUUGUUUGUUUGUUUGUUUUUGGUACCGGGAUCAAAAUUAGGACCUUGUACUUGCGAGGCAGGCAGGCACAGGUGCCACUGAGCUAAAGCCCAAG